UACAGAGGUCUCAAGCGUUGUUCGGAUUCAUUGGGCGUAAAGGGCGCGUAGGCUGCGGGGCAAGUCGGGUGUGAAAUCUCAGAGCUCAACUCUGAAACUGCACUCGAUACUGCUUUGCUUGAGGACUGGAGAGGAGAUUGGAAUUCACGGUGUAGCAGUGAAAUGCGUAGAUAUCGUGAGGAAGACCAGUGGCGAAGGCGGAUCUCUGGACAGUUCCUGACGCUGAGGCGCGAAAGCGUGGGGAGCGAACAGG
rnacentral:rRNA from 1 species